UAUCAGCCUUUCUUCGCCAUCUUUAAGUAUCUCAAAACCUAGAGCUACAGCAAAAGCGACAGACAUCAAAAGCUUGAUCGCAGCAGCCAUGGAAGAUAGAAGGAAGAUGACCAGAUGAGCUUCUGUUCUAUCUGCAGCCAAAACCCGCAUCAUCAUCGUCAUCAGGGCCAACCAGCAGUUCUUGCAGGUGUCAUGAAAUCUGGUGUAAUUGAGCAUCAUUCAUCUCAUCAGGAGUCAACACUGGAUCAAGGCAUGCAUGGAAAGAGGCCUCUUCUUUGUUCUGAUGAAGGAAAGGAAGAUCAAAUCUUGUAUACUCACCAACCAUCUCUUCAUGAUCAAGGGCAAUCGGUUCUUGCCCAUCAUGCCAUGGCCAGUAACCAUAGGCUAGAUGAACAUGUGCAAGCAAAUCUGGAGUCUGCUAGGAUCAAACAUUGCCCUUCUCAAACUACAAAGAAUACUGAUCAAGGGAACUUGAGAAGAAGACAUUAUAGAGGAGUGAGACAAAGACCAUGGGGAAAGUGGGCAGCCGAAAUCCGUGACCCAAAGAAGGCUGCUCGUGUCUGGCUUGGAACGUUUGACACGGCAGAAGCUGCAGCAACUGCCUAUGAUGCAGCAGCUCUUAAGUUCAAAGGCACAAAAGCUAAGCUCAAUUUCCCAGAACGUGUUCAAGGAGGAUCAUCUGAUAAUAAUCUAGGCAGCAGCUUCUUGAGAGCAGCUAAUUACCAGAAUCCACUUCUCCUUCCUAAUAAUAAUAAUGCUAUGGUUUCUACCUCAUCAACAUUUGCUAAUAUUAAUAAUCUUCCAACUCCUGAUCAUCCCUUUCCACCUCCAUUGACACAUGAAGCAUUCCCAAACCUUUUGCAGUAUGCACAACUGCUUUCUUGCAAUGAUGACAGCUAUCUACAAUAUGCUGCAGCUUCAGGUCUUCACCCUAAUUAUAAUCAAGAACCAUUUCUUUCUCGUUCUUUCUCAAUGACAUCUUCUUCAUCCUCAGCUUCUUCGGCAGUACCCCAACAACAACAACAACCAGAUGAGGAUUUUUGGAGGUUUUUUCCGCAGGUGGCUGCUACUGAUCACCAUUUUCUUUAUCAGGAGAGCGACUUUGAUAAUACUACUUCGAAGGAAUAAACAUAGGAUCAUGAUGAGUCUUCUUUCUACCAGAAGCUGCAAUUCUUGAAUCGUGAUCGAUCUCAGGUUCACCUCCCUUUGCUAGUAUCCAUUGAACAUCAUAUUUCAAGCUUUCAACUUUUGCGUUGGACUGGUGCUUUCGGCUCCUCCUACAUUGUCAAUCUUUGCGGCUGUUUCUGUCAGCAAUUUGACUUCAACUUCAAUCUCUCACUCUGGCUUCAUCAAAUUUCAUUAAGAUCCAUUUAAAUAAUAUGUAGGGAUAAAUUAAUAGUGAUAAAGUUCACACGGGACUGAAUUUUAUUGGCUGGAGGUUUAUAUAUAU